AGCGAACGCUGGCGGCAGGCCUAACACAUGCAAGUCGAACGGAUCCUUCGGGAUUAGAGGCGGACGGGUGAGCAACACGUGGGAACGUGCCCUUUGGUUCGGAACAACUCAGGGAAACUUGAGCUAAUACCGGAUGUGCCCUUCGGGGGAAAGAUUUAUCGCCAUUGGAGCGGCCCGCGUCUGAUUGGCUAGUUGGUGAGGUAAAGGCUCACCAAGGCGACGAGCAGCAGAUGGGCUGUGAGGAUGAUCAGCCACAUUGGGACUGAGAGACGGCCCCAACGCCUACGAGAGGCGGCAGUGGCGAAGCGUGCGCAAUGGGCGAAAGCCUGACGCAGCCAUGCCGCGGGAAUGAUGAAGGUCUUAGGAUUGUAAAAUUCUUUAACCGGGGACGAUAAUGACGGUACCCGGCGCAGAAGCCCCGGCUAACUUCGUGCCAGCAGCCGCGGUAA
rnacentral:rRNA from 1 species